UACGUAGGGUGCGAGCGUUAAUCGGAAUUACUGGGCGUAAAGCGUGCGCAGGCGGUGGCUCAAGCCAGGCGUGAAAUCCCCGGGCUUAACCUGGGAAUGGCGUUUGGGACUGGGUCGCUAGAGUGUGGCAGAGGGAGGUGGAAUUCCACGUGUAGCAGUGAAAUGCGUAGAGAUGUGGAGGAACACCGAUGGCGAAGGCAGCCUCCUGGGCCAGCACUGACGCUCAUGCACGAAAGCGUGGGGAGCAAACAGGAUUAGAUACCCUGGUAGUCCACGCCCUAAACGAUGUCAACUGGUUGUUGGGGAAGGAAACUUCCUUAGUAACGAAGCUAACGCGUGAAGUUGACCGCCUGGGGAGUACGGCCGCAAGGUUAAA
rnacentral:rRNA from 1 species